CGGGGUGUAGCGCAGCCCGGUUAGCGCAUCUGGUUUGGGACCAGAGGGUCGCAGGUUCGAAUCCCGCCACCCCGA
rnacentral:tRNA from 1 species